UCGCCUGUUUAACAAAAACAUGUCUUUUUGAAAUUUUUUUAAAGUCUAGCCUGCCCACUGAGUAAUUUUAAAUGGCCGCAGUAUACUAACUGUGCAAAGGUAGCAUAAUCAUUAGUCUUUUAAUUGAAGGCUGGUAUGAAUGGUUGGACGAGAUAUUAACUGUUUCAUAGAAAUUUAUAAUAGAAUUUUAUUUUUUAGUCAAAAAGCUAAAAUAUAAUUAAAAGACGAGAAGACCCUAUAAAUCUUUAUACAUAAAUUAUUAGAAUUUUGUAGAUUUUUUUUAUUAUAAUAAUUAAUUGUAUUUUAUUGGGGUGAUAUUAAAAUUUAAUAAACUUUUAAUUUUAAAAAUCAUUAAUUUAUGAGUAAUUGAUCCGUUAUUAACGAUUAAAAAAAUAAGUUACUUUAGGGAUAACAGCGUAAUUUUUUUGGAGAGUUCAUAUCGAUAAAAAAGAUUGCGACCUCGAUGUUGGAUUAAGAUAUAAUUUUAGGUGUAGCCGCUUAAAUUUUAAGUCUGUUCGACUUUUAAAUUCUUACGUGAUCUGAGUCCAAACCGGA
rnacentral:rRNA from 1 species